GCAAGGCGCCAACUAAAAAACCCGUAGUGAGCGCAGGCAGAAACCACGGAGAUCUUCGCUUUAACAGAAUCAGAGAGAUCCAACCUGGGGCAUUCAGGCGGCUGAGGAACUUGAACACAUUGCUUCUCAAUAAUAAUCAGAUCAAGAGGAUACCUAGUGGAGCAUUUGAAGACUUGGAAAAUUUAAAAUAUCUCUAUCUGUACAAGAAUGAGAUCCAGUCAAUUGACAGGCAAGCAUUUAAGGGACUUGCCUCUCUAGAGCAACUAUACCUGCACUUUAAUCAGAUAGAAACUUUGGACCCAGAUUCGUUCCAGCAUCUCCCGAAGCUCGAGAGGCUAUUUUUGCAUAACAACCGGAUUACACAUUUAGUUCCAGGGACAUUUAAUCACUUGGAAUCUAUGAAGAGAUUGCGAUUGGACUCAAACACACUUCACUGCGACUGUGAAAUCCUGUGGUUGGCGGAUUUGCUGAAAACCUACGCGGAGUCGGGGAACGCGCAGGCAGCGGCCACCUGUGAAU
rnacentral:sRNA from 1 species